rnacentral:rRNA from 1 species
GAGUAAUGUCUGGGAAACUGCCUGAUGGAGGGGGAUAACUACUGGAAACGGUGGCUAAUACCGCAUAACGUCGCAAGACCAAAGAGGGGGACCUUCGGGCCUCUUGCCAUCAGAUGUGCCCAGAUGGGAUUAGCUUGUUGGUGAGGUAACGGCUCACCAAGGCGACGAUCCCUAGCUGGUCUGAGAGGAUGACCAGCCACACUGGAACUGAGACACGGUCCAGACUCCUACGGGAGGCAGCAGUGGGGAAUAUUGCACAAUGGGCGCAAGCCUGAUGCAGCCAUGCCGCGUGUAUGAAGAAGGCCUUCGGGUUGUAAAGUACUUUCAGCGGGGAGGAAGGUGUUGUGGUUAAUAACCACAGCAAUUGACGUUACCCGCAGAAGAAGCACCGGCUAACUCCGUGCCAGCAGCCGCGGUAAUACGGAGGGUGCAAGCGUUAAUCGGAAUUACUGGGCGUAAAGCGCACGCAGGCGGUCUGUCAAGUCGGAUGUGAAAUCCCCGGGCUCAACCUGGGAACUGCAUUCGAAACUGGCAGGCUUGAGUCUUGUAGAGGGGGGUAGAAUUCCAGGUGUAGCGGUGAAAUGCGUAGAGAUCUGGAGGAAUACCGGUGGCGAAGGCGGCCCCCUGGACAAAGACUGACGCUCAGGUGCGAAAGCGUGGGGAGCAAACAGGAUUAGAUACCCUGGUAGUCCACGCCGUAAACGAUGUCUACUUGGAGGUUGUGCCCUUGAGGCGUGGCUUCCGGAGCUAACGCGUUAAGUAGACCGCCUGGGGAGUACGGCCGCAAGGUUAAAACUCAAAUGAAUUGACGGGGGCCCGCACAAGCGGUGGAGCAUGUGGUUUAAUUCGAUGCAACGCGAAGAACCUUACCUGGUCUUGACAUCCACGGAAGUUUUCAGAGAUGAGAAUGUGCCUUCGGGAACCGUGAGACAGGUGCUGCAUGGCUGU